CCCGAGUAUUCACGAGGUUACAAGGAAAAGGGUGCCUGAAGAAGCUCCCUCCCGUUCCCGCAGCAGCCGCCGGCAGGUCCCAGGACCCACGCCAGGACCCCCAGCACGUCUGGGUGUGGACGGCCCAGGCCCUCUCCUCCGUCCAGGGGCCGCUGUGGGAACUACGUGCCACCCCGCGCCUGGCUUGGAUAAUGAAGGGCUUCAGCGAGGGCCCCAAAUUCCAUCACCCUCCCCCCCCACAACUCAGGGUGCCUCGGGGUGUCUGGUGCUCUGGAACAUGCUUUCCCCAAAGGUUACAGAGUGGAUGAAGCUCAGGGACACAGCUGGGAGCCUCCCUCCUAUGCAGCUCAGGGACACAGCUGGGAGCCUCCCUCCUAUGCAGCAGGCAGUCAGUCUCCCUGGGAUCUCCGUCGAGGCCUCCUUGAGUCUCUGUCUACUCCUUCCUAGAAUCCCUGUCCACACCUCCCUGGGAUCCCCUCGAGGCCUCCCUCCCUUGAGUUUCUGUCUACUCCUCCCUGGAAUCCCUGGCUGCGCCCCGCCUUGAUUCUCCAUCUACACCUGUGUUCUCACUGUUCCCUGUCCUGCUUACUUGCUCUGCUUCCUAGAACCUCCAGCCCCAUCCCUGAGCCCAGGCAGGGAGCUGACCUGUUCCUGCCCUCUGUGCUGGGUAUCUGGGUGUCCCUCUGUGCUGGCCCCUACCUGAGGCCCCCAACACCCCUGCCACACCCUCCUCCCAGCCCGUCCUCGUGACAGUACUGCCCACGGUGCUGUCCAGGAUGGGAGCCACCUUUCUAAGCCUGUGUGGCCCCACAGCUCCUGCCAGAGCAGGACCCAAGAAUGCUGGCAUGCCUCCAGAAUAAACGGCUUCAUCCCUGUUCAGCACCUCCAGGACGGUCAGCAGUGACCCAGUGGCGCCUGGUCAGGGUGCAGCCCGGAAUCUCACUCUUACUGGAGACUUUGGGGCCCGUGGUAGGAGCUCACCCCUGCCACACCUCCACUAUACAGAAAGAAAGUGGGACCGUGUGGGGCUUUCUCAGCCCAGGAGUCCUUUGUGAGCUUCUCCAGCCCGUUUCUACAGAUCUGGUUCUUUCUUUGCCAUGGAUCCAUGGAAUUAGGGAUGUUUUCUAGGGAGUUUUUCCAAAACAUGGACUAUUAACAUAGCUUGGUUUAUUCAAAAAGUACUUACUGAUCAACUACUACUGGUAGUCACAGCACAGCCCCCAUCUCUGGGAAGCUGACAUUCCAGUGGAGGGAAAUAAACCAGUGGACAGAACACAAAUCCGGUCAAGGAAGGCCUCUCUGAUGGGGCAGGCUGAGCAGACACUGAGAGGAAGCUACCUGGGACUUGAAGGCAAAGGAGCCACCUGUGCAAAGGCC
rnacentral:lncRNA from 1 species